rfam:Aedes aegypti strain Liverpool supercont1.164 genomic scaffold, whole genome shotgun sequence.
CAAUCGGCCCUUUUCAGGGCCAGCAAAUGUGUUUAAAAGAGUUAUUU